AGAGUUUGAUUCUGGCUCAGGAUUAACGCUGGCGGCAUGCCUAAUACAUGCAAGUCGAAUGGUUAGCUUGCUAGCCAUGGCGAACGGGUGAGUAACACGUAGGUAACCUGUCUUCAAGACGAGGAUAACCAUUGGAAACGAUGGAUAAUACUGGAUAGGACAAAUCCCCGCAUGAGGAGAUGUUUAAAGGGGCAAUCCACUUGAUGAGGGGCCUGCGGUGCAUUAGUUAGUUGGUGAGGUAACGGCCCACCAAGACGAUGAUGCAUAGCCGGACUGAGAGGUUGAACGGCCACAAUGGAACUGAGAACGGUCCAUACUCCUACGGGAGGCAGCAGUAGGGAAUUUUCGGCAAUGGGCGGAAGCCUGAACCCGAGCAAUGCCGCGUGAAUGAAGAAGUAUUUCGGUAUGUAAAGUUCUUUUAUUUGGGAAGAAAAACAAAUUGACGGUACCAAAUGAAUAAGCUCCGGCUAACUACGUGCCAGCAGCCGC
rnacentral:rRNA from 1 species